rnacentral:rRNA from 1 species
AGCGAACGCUGGCGGCAGGCUUAACACAUGCAAGUCGAGCGCCCGUAGCAAUACGGGAGCGGCAGACGGGUGAGUAACACGUGGGAACGUACCCUUCAGUUCGGAACAACCCAGGGAAACUUGGGCUAAUACCGGAUACGUCCGUAAGGAGAAAGAUUUAUCGCUGAAGGAUCGGCCCGCGUCUGAUUAGCUAGUUGGUGGGGUAAUGGCCCACCAAGGCGACGAUCAGUAGCUGGUCNGAGAGGAUGAUCAGCCACACUGGGACUGAGACACGGCCCAGACUCCUACGGGAGGCAGCAGUGGGGAAUAUUGGACAAUGGGCGAAAGCCUGAUCCAGCAAUGCCGCGUGAGUGAUGAAGGCCUUAGGGUUGUAAAGCUCUUUUACCCGGGAUGAUAAUGACAGUACCGGGAGAAUAAGCUCCGGCUAACUCCGUGCCAGCAGCCGCGGUAAC